rnacentral:rRNA from 1 species
UACGUAGGAGGCGAGCGUUGUCCGGAAUUACUGGGCGUAAAGAGCGCGUAGGCGGCACUGUACGACCGCUGUGAAAGCCCCCGGCUCAACUGGGGAGGGUCAGUGGUAACGGCAGAGCUGUGAGUGCAGGAGAGGGAAGUGGAACUCCGGGAGUAGCGGUGAAAUGCGUAGAGACCCGGAGGAACACCAGUGGCGAAGGCGGCUUCCUGGUCUGCGACUGACGCUGUGGCGCGAAAGCUAGGGGAGCGAACGGG